UACGUAGGGGGCUAGCGUUGUCCGGAAUCAUUGGGCGUAAAGAGCGUGUAGGCGGUCCGGUAAGUCCGCUGUGAAAGUCGGGGGGCUCAACCCUCGAAUGCCGGUGGAUACUGUCGGGCUAGAGUGCGGAAGAGGCGAGUGGAAUUCCUGGUGUAGCGGUGAAAUGCGCAGAUAUCAGGAGGAACACCUAUUGCGAAGGCAGCUCGCUGGGACGUAACUGACGCUGAGACGCGAAAGCGUGGGGGAGCAAACAGG
rnacentral:rRNA from 1 species